UACAGAGGUGGCAAGCGUUGUUCGGAAUUACUGGGCGUAAAGGGCGCGUAGGCGGCCUUCUAAGUCAGACAUGAAAUCCCCCGGCUUAACCUGGGAACUGCGUCUGAUACUGGGAGGCUUGAGUAUGGGAGAGGGAUGUAGAAUUCCAGGUGUAGCAGUGAAAUGCGUAGAGAUCGUAAGGAAGACCAGUGGCGAAGGCGAGUUUCUGGACGGUAACUGACGCUGAGGCACGAAGGCCAGGGGAGCAAACGGG
rnacentral:rRNA from 1 species